rnacentral:rRNA from 1 species
UGGGGAAUCUUGCGCACUGGGGGAAACCCUGACGCAGCAACGCCGUGUGUGCGAUGAAGGCCCUCGGGUCGUCAAGCACUGUCAACAGGGCAGAUGGGUUCAUGCUCUAAUAGAGUAUGGGCUUGACGGUACCUGUGGAGGAAGCCCCGGCUAACUCUGUGCGAGCAGCCGCGGUAAGACAGAGGGUGCAAGCGUUGAUCGGAAUUAUUGGGCGUAAAGCGCGGGUAGGCGGCGAGUUAAGUCGGAUGUGAAAGCCCGGGGCUCAACCUCGGAAGUGCAUCCGAAACUGGCUUGCUUGAAUCUUGGAGGGGGCAGUGGAAUUCCCGGUGUAGAGGUGAAAUUCGUAGAUAUCGGGAGGAACACCAGUGGCGAAGGCGACUGCCUGGACAAUGAUUGACGCUGAGGUGCGAAAGCGUGGGUAGCAAACAGGAUUAGAUACCCCCGUAGUCC